rnacentral:rRNA from 1 species
AACGAACGCUGGCGGCAUGCCUAACACAUGCAAGUCGAACGAGACCUUCGGGUCUAGUGGCGCACGGGUGCGUAACGCGUGGGAACCUGCCCUUAGGUUCGGAAUAACUCCCCGAAAGGGGUGCUAAUACCGGAUAAUGUCUUCGGACCAAAGAUUUAUCGCCUUUGGAUGGGCCCGCGUUGGAUUAGCUAGUUGGUAGGGUAAAAGCCUACCAAGGCGACGAUCCAUAGCUGGUCUGAGAGGAUGAUCAGCCACACUGGGACUGAGACACGGCCCAGACUCCUACGGGAGGCAGCAGUGGGGAAUAUUGGACAAGGGGCGAAAGCCUGAGCCAGCAAUGCCGCGUGAGUGAUGAAGGCCUUAGGGUUGUAAAGCUCUUUUACCCGGGAUGAUAAUGACAGUACCGGGAGAAUAAGCGCCGGCUAACUCCGUG